GACAGAGGGGGCAAGCGUUGCUCGGAAUUACUGGGCGUAAAGGGCGCGUAGGCGGUCAGCGCAAGUCAGUUGUGAAAUCUCCGGGCUUAACUCGGAAAGGUCAACUGAUACUGUGCGACUAGAGUGCGGAAGGGGCAACUGGAAUUCUCGGUGUAGCGGUGAAAUGCGUAGAUAUCGAGAGGAACACCUGCGGCGAAGGCGGGUUGCUGGGCCGACACUGACGCUGAUGCGCGAAAGCCAGGGGAGCGAACGGG
rnacentral:rRNA from 1 species